rnacentral:snRNA from 1 species
AAACUCCUCUGCUGUAUAAAUCUUUCUCCUUUUACUAAAGAAUUCCGUGGAGAGAAACAGUUACGAGUUUCUACCCAAUUUUUUUUAGAGAGAGAAAGCUCUGC